GGCUCUUUCGACCGCGGAAUAGGAAGUUAUCGUUAUACAUAGCGUAAAGAGCAUUCAAAUGAAUUGCGCGAAAUGAAAAAUAAAUAGAACUAAUUGUUAUCUUUGAAUCCAUAUACUUUUGCACUGUCUAAUAAAGAAAGAGAGACGCUUGUUAACUAGAACAAUGAAAAGAGAACAGAAGAUUGUAAGGAACAGUGGGUGUGAAAAAAAGAAAAGACCAGAAUCAAGAAAAUGAAAAUAAUUUGUCCAGUAUAUGAGAAUAUCAUUCGAAAAUUGAAAAUUGAAACAAAAAUUGAAUUCCUUUGGAACCAUGACAUUUCGGUUCUUUAUUUCGCGUAAUAUGUGGUAUUGAUUGAUCCGUGUAGAACAUAAUAACCCCAUCCACCAAGCCCCUUCUCGGAAAUUAGCUGGGUGUUCGGAUGUGACGAUUUCGGGAAGAGUCUCGCCUUCGAAGGUCAUCCUUUCAAUAAUUUUUGAACGAGUAAUGUGCAAAUACGGAAGAGGAAACGGAGGCCAAAGCAGUUCCAAUAGUCUUGAAUCGUUGGGAAGGAGCAGAAUCGACUGUUAUCUGAAUUGUAAUUACUUCCAAUGAAGAUAAGAGGUUAUUGCUAGAGCAUUACCAGAGAAACCAUCAGCUUCAAUAUUGAAUUUUAAUACACGAGCGCAUCAUAAAAGCAGAAGAGUUGUUCAAGAAGCAGUUGGAAGUUCUAACCAAAGAAGGAACAUCGUGCUUUUGCACUUGUGUACAAAUGGAAUACCUAGGAGAAGGAAAAAGAAGAAAAAACAUUUGUUUUUUUCCGAAGAAGUUUUGAAAGACCAACAUGGAACUGUUUUAUAAAGUUUGGAACGGUGGUACGAGGAAAUGAGAGGGAUUUAGCUUUUUCAAAAGAACCACUCGUGAGCGGCUUUAGCCGGAGAGUAUAGGCGAUUAUGCUUAGAAGGAUUUGUAGAAGGGUCGUCCGAAGCUCCACGCGGGGCAAGGGUCAAAGGGGAAUUAAAAUGAAACUGAGGGAGGUAUACAAAACAAUUUAACAUGCAGGGACGAUGAGAAGGUUCAUCUUUUUUGAAAGUAACAACGUUAAUAGGGGAAUACUUUUAAGCUAUAUGGGAAAUGGAAAGUCCAUAUUCACGUCAUCGUUAUUCCAUCGAUUUAAAUUAAGUAAUCGUUGGAUAUAAUUAGGAAAGGAGAAAUGCUGAAUUCUAUCUUUCAAAUUGUCUGUCGUAAUAUUCACGACAUGUAGUUGAAAAAUAUUCGUAAUAUUUAAUUAGCAUUUUUCAUAAAUAUUGAAAUUUGGACGAAGUAAUUUGGUGGGUAGCGCGAAUUACCUGUUGUUAAUACUUACUCCCGUACUUACUUAGCCAAGUACCUUCGUUUUAAACCCAGCGUUAUUAUCUCUCUCUGCGUGUGCUCUGGUGCGCGCCUAUCUGCGCCAGUUCGAGGGGUCGGGAUUGAGUGCCCGGUCUUGUGUGCGUGUAUGCUACAACUCCUGUCUUUUCUUGAUAAUAAAGAAAAUAUGUUUUCAUUUGUUUUCCUAUCAUCAUGUCAAGCAGAUAAUUGGAGAUUAGCUCUAUAGUUCAAUUGUCUAUUUAGAUUCAUUGGUUGGUAACACUGUUACUUAUUUUGCAGAGCAUUGGACUAUUUUUUUAGGAACCAAUUGAUUUGUAACAUAUUAUAUGAAAUAUUCGAUAACUGGAGGUAUAAUGGGAUUAUUGUUUUGCAUUCUCCAAUAGGGAGUAAAUUUCUAGGAAAAUGUAACCGUUCAUAGAGAAGAAUCAAAUCAGUCGUGUUAGAUGGAUCUGCAAAAGAAUUAACCAGGUAAUUAAAUGAUACUGCUAAAUAGAUAAUUCAGUUAUACCGCUAAUCUUAUUAUCGAAUUCUCUGCCUGGUUUGAUGAGAGGAAAAACUAAUGAAAAGAUACCUUUCUUGUUUUGAAAAUAAGAGAGGAGAUGUACGUCAAGCAGACACGCUCACUUGAACUCGCUCACGUAAAUGCGCACGUUCACGAGGAGAGGUAAUAAGUCGUUUAAUAUGAUGGUGCUGGACGAUAGGUUGGAGAAAAGGCGUACGUGCAGAUCGUUAAGUCCCGAUCAAUACCCGGUAUUAGAGGAAUUUGUAGACAUGGGGGAUCAUAUGUUUUUGCAAAAGAAUCAUAAUUUUGUUCAUUAUAAUUUUCUACGAUGUCUAUGAUAAAUGUUGAAUCAAUUCUCUUUCCACAUUAUCAUCCCUCGCAUUAUGUAUGAGAUCUCUCCGUUUUUUUGUUGAAUGUCAUCACUAUCACUCUUAUCGUUUUCUUGCCCGAAUAAUAUUAAUUUUUUCUAACGUAUCUGUAUAAAUAUCUAUCUGGAAUUCCUCUUCGGUAUUACUUAUGACACCAAACUCACUAUUGUUUGGAUAUUUUGCCAUUCUCCUAAUGAAAAAAAAGUAAGUAAUUGUAGUCUCAAAUUGUAUGUUACGAAAUCGAGAAACGAUAUAUACCAAAAGAAUAUUACGUUUCUGAUUUUCUGGCUUAUUAGUCUUGGGAACUAUCUAUUUCACUAAAAGUUUCAAUACGAAGCGAGUUCAGCUUCGAAAAUAUCUCCUCAGUUUUAUGAUUACUUGUUUACUCCAUCAAAUAUCACUGCAUCGUACGAGGCGUACUCGUGUACCAUUGCGGACAAGUCCUUGUCACUUUAUUUAAGCGGUUUAGAGAAGCCCUCAGACCGUUAUGAACGUACUUCUUUUCUGUAAGACUGAGUGAUAUUCUUUUUAUAUGACUUGGUAUUUUGACCAUUCCUUGACUAACUAAGUGAAUGGUUCUCUCGGAGGGGAAAUACGGGAAAGAGAAGAAGGUAAUAUUAGGAAAGCAUAAAUGUGACGAAAGAUUUUCUCCGAGUACAUGUUUUUAUUAUCGUGCAAUAACGAAAAUGAAUUCUUCGAUAACUUGAUCAAUAUGUAUUUUUUUGCAAGGAAGGAAAGUAAUAUAUGGAGAAAAUGUUUUCCAGGAAUAUGGAAGUAGAUAUAACUUCCGACGAAAACAUUUUUUUACAAAAGAAGAUUUUACAAUAAGAAUUAUAUUGUGGCAGAAUAAGCUCGAUUUGAUUCUUGAAUUUAUUGUAUCCUUUGAAAGGGAGUAAAAUUUGUUUAUUCAGUCGUCAUUAAGCAAAUCCUAAAGAGAUCCAGAAAGGAUAGGCUUAGAGUAGUAUAUCAGCAAUUAAUCAAUUACGAUAAUGAAUUCUAUGUCAUCUAUAUCGUCUUAAACAACAUACACUCGAUAAGAUAAAACAUACUCGAAUUUUUUGUUUCUCUCAAUUUAUUGUUUUGUUGAUUGCUUUUAUGCAAUCCUUUAUGACGGAAUUGUUAAUAGAGGGUCGUAAAACCAUUUUCGAUAGACCUUCGUUACAAUUCUAUAUGAUAACCUCAGAAAAAUGUGCGUAAUUAAUUGUUCCUCUGCCUGAUGUGUUCAUGAACGCAAUCUUGAUUGUUCUUUUCACGCGGCAGACGGGUUCUAUACAUAUAUAUAUAUAUAUAUAUAUAUAUAUAUAUAUAUAUAUAUAUAUAUAUAUACAAAUACAUACAUUCAUAUCUAUAUAUAUGUAUAUAUACAUAUAUAUCUUACUGUAUACUAAAAUCUAAUACAUUUGUAUACCUGUUUGUUCACACAUUUGUCUACAUGUUGCUAAAGUAUUUAUAUCUAUCUGAACAUCUCUAAGCAUAUACAUGAAAGUAAAAUUAAAGAGAAACUUGAAAAAUAAGUUGAAAUAAUAAAAGAGAUGUCAUUAAGAUUGAAGCAAUGAGAUAUCUAUGGGGAAAGUGAAUCAACUGAUACGGAUUCCAUACUUUCAUAUAUCUGCGCAAGAGAGAUAAAUGUGAACACGACGGUUGAUAAAUGUUUACUUUUCCUUUAAUUUAAAAAAAAAUGUUAUUUAACUUAUUAUUUACGAGAAAGUCAAAAAAUCCAUUUGUAAAUAAUUCUAUGGAAAUAAUAUUUAAAAAAAAAAACGUAAAUAAGUAAGUGAAAAAAAAUUGAAAUUAAAAGAAAUAAUAUUAAAGAAAAGAGCAACCAAAUAUGUAUUCGGGGAGUGUUGAAGAUAAAAAAAUAUUUAAGAAAUGGGACGCUUUUAUAUAAUAUUAACUAAUAAGAUUUUCACCUGAGUUACGAAUUGAAUUUGGUCCGAUACUCUGCCCUUACUUUUUCCCGAACUAAUUGAUUACAGAAAGAGUUUAUGACAAACUAAGUCAAAGUAAGCACAAAAUGGUGUACUAGAAUUGCUUUAAAACUUAUCAUGGAUAUCGUAGAAAAUUAUAGAAUAGGAUUUUGAUUUCUUUUCGAGAAAUUUGUCCCUCGAUGUAUAUAAAUUCAUAUAAAUCAAAUACCACUGUAUAAUAUGAUGUAAUAUAUACUACGUUCGCGCGACGAAAUGUCGCCGUGUAUAUAAGGAAAAAUCAUUUAAUAAAUGGAAAUAUCACUUUA